UUUUGGGCCAAAUCUGGGUAUAAUCCCAGCCCAUCAUCCAGUUUCUUAUUCAGGUCCAGAUACUUAGCACAGUGGCUUGGGUGCUGUCUGUUGGCAGGCUGGCUCAGCCAAACCGCACUUUGGGCUGGGUAAAUCUCUAGUCAGAGAUGUC